GACGAACCGUGCGAACGUUGUUCGGAAUCACUGGGCUUAAAGGGCGCGUAGGCGGGCCGGACGGUCCGGGGUGAAAUCCCCCCGCUCAACGGGGGAACGGCCCCGGACACCGCCGGCCUCGAGGGGGGUAGGGGCGAGCGGAACGCUGGGUGGAGCGGUGAAAUGCGUUGAUAUCCAGCGGAACUCCGGUGGCGAAGGCGGCUCGCUGGACCCCUUCUGACGCUGAGGCGCGAAAGCCAGGGGAGCGAACGGG
rnacentral:rRNA from 1 species